rnacentral:rRNA from 1 species
UACGAAGGGGGCUAGCGUUGCUCGGAAUCACUGGGCGUAAAGCGCACGUAGGCGGACUCUUAAGUCAGGGGUGAAAUCCCGGGGCUCAACCUCGGAACUGCCUUUGAUACUGCAAAUCUCGAGUCCGGAAGAGGUGAGUGGAAUUCCUAGUGUAGAGGUGAAAUUCGUAGAUAUUAGGAAGAACACCAGUGGCGAAGGCGGCUCACUGGUCCGGUACUGACGCUGAGGUGCGAAAGCGUGGGGAGCAAACAGG